GACGAACCGUGCGAACGUUGUUCGGAAUCACUGGGCUUAAAGGGCGCGUAGGCGGCUCGCGAGGUCGGGGGUGAAAUCCCACAGCUUAACUGUGGAAGUGCCUUCGAUACCGGCGGGCUGGAGGAAGGUAGGGGUGCGCGGAACUUCUGGUGGAGCGGUGAAAUGCGUUGAUAUCAGAAGGAACGCCGGCGGCGAAGGCGGGUUGCUGG
rnacentral:rRNA from 1 species